GGACUGGAGUCUGCAACCCGACUCCACGAAGCUGGAUUCGCUAGUAAUCGCGCAUCAGCCACGGCGCGGUGAAUACGUUCCCGGGCCUUGUACACACCGCCCGUCAAGCCAUGGGAGCCGGGGGUACCUGAAGUGCGUAACCGCGAGGAUCGCCCUAGGGUAAAACUGGUGACUGGGCUAAGUCGUAACAAGGUACC
rnacentral:rRNA from 1 species